AUGUACUCCCUUCUACUACUGUACUAUCACCAUGUACUCCCUUCUACUACUAUACUAUCACCAGGUACUCCCUUCUACUACUGUACUAUCACCAUGUGCUCCCUUGUACUAAUGUACUAUCACCAGGAACUCCCUUGUACUACUGUACUAUCACCAUGUGCUCCCUUCUACUACUGUACUAUCACCAUGUGCUCCCUUGUACUACUGUACUAUCACCAGGUACUCCCUUGUACUACUGUAAUAUCACCAGGUACUACCUUGUACUACCUGAAUGUGUAUUGCUGUAUCUCAUUGGUUUCUCUCUCUCUCUCUGUCUGUAGUUUGCAGCCCACCCUCUCCGGGGUGUCUAGAGAUGUAGAGAUCAGCGUGAGGAGCACAGCCCCAUCUUUCCCAGCAGCACUUUCUCACCAAGAGCUUCCUCACUCUCUCGGGCUGGACUGCAGUGCGUCUGCGUCGGCUCGCCCUCCCCUCCCCCCUCGCCCCCCAGCCAUGGCCUCACGAAUAGGGCUGCGGCUGCAGGUAAACACAUUUUGGACUGAUUGAUUUAUUACAUAGUACACUAUGUAUACAGUAGAUGUAUUAAUUGACUGACUGAUGUCUUGACUGACUGACUGAUUGAUGGAUGUAUUGACUGACUGAUCUAUUGACGGACUGACUGAUGUAUUGACUGACUGACUGAUUGAUGGAUGUAUUUGACUGCCUGACUGACUGACUGACUGACUGAUUGAUGUAUUGACUGACUGACUGACUGGUGUAUUGACUGACUGACUGACUGGUGUAUUGACUGACUGACUGACUGAUGUAUUGACUGACUGACUGAUGGAUGUAUUUGACUGACUCACUGACUGACUGAUGAAUUGACUGACUGACUGACUGAUGUACUGACUGAUUGAUGAAUGUAUUUGACUGACUGACUGAUGUAUUGACUGACUGACUGAUUGAUGGAUGUAUUUAACUGACUGACUGAUGUAUUGACUGACUGACUGAUUGAUGGAUGUAUUUAACUGACUGACUGAUGUAUUGACUGACUGACUGACUGACUGAUUGACAGAUGUGUUUGACUGACUGACUGAUGAAUGUAUUUGACUGACUGACUGACUGAUGUACUGACUGACUGAUUGAUGUAUGUAUUUGACUGACUGAUUGACGGAUAUAUUUGACUGACUGACUGACUGAUUGAUGUAUUUGACUGACUGACUGAUGGAUGUAUUUGACUGACUGACUGACUGAUGUAUUUUACUGACUGACUGACUGAUGGAUGUAUUUUACUGAUUGACUGACUGAUGGAUGUAUUUUACUGAUUGACUGACUGAUGGAUGUAUUUGACUGACUGACUGACUGAUGCAUUUGACUGACUGACUGAUGUAUUGACUGACUGACUGACUGACUGAUGUAUUGACUGACUGACUGAUGGAUGUAUUUUACUGACUGACUGACUGAUGGAUGUAUUUGACUGACUGACUGAUGUAUUGACUGACUGACUGAUGUAUUUUACUGACUGAUGUAUUUUACUGACUGAUGUAUUUUACUGACUGAUGUUUUU
rnacentral:lncRNA from 1 species